AGAGUUUGAUCCUGGCUCAGGAUGAACGCUGGCGGCGUGCCUAAUACAUGCAAGUCGAGCGAACAGACAAGGAGCUUGCUCCUUUGACGUUAGCGGCGGACGGGUGAGUAACACGUGGGUAACCUACCUAUAAGACUGGGAUAACUUCGGGAAACCGGAGCUAAUACCGGAUAAUAUUUCGAACCGCAUGGUUCGAUAGUGAAAGAUGGUUUUGCUAUCACUUAUAGAUGGACCCGCGCCGUAUUAGCUAGUUGGUAAGGUAACGGCUUACCAAGGCGACGAUACGUAGCCGACCUGAGAGGGUGAUCGGCCACACUGGAACUGAGACACGGUCCAGACUCCUACGGGAGGCAGCAGUAGGGAAUCUUCCGCAAUGGGCGAAAGCCUGACGGAGCAACGCCGCGUGAGUGAUGAAGGUCUUCGGAUCGUAAAACUCUGUUAUUAGGGAAGAACAUACGUGUAAGUAACUGUGCACGUCUUGACGGUACCUAAUCAGAAAGCCACGGCUAACUACGUGCCAGCAGCCGCGGUAAUACGUAGGUGGCAAGCGUUAUCCGGAAUUAUUGGGCGUAAAGCGCGCGUAGGCGGUUUUUUAAGUCUGAUGUGAAAGCCCACGGCUCAACCGUGGAGGGUCAUUGGAAACUGGAAAACUUGAGUGCAGAAGAGGAAAGUGGAAUUCCAUGUGUAGCGGUGAAAUGCGCAGAGAUAUGGAGGAACACCAGUGGCGAAGGCGACUUUCUGGUCUGUAACUGACGCUGAUGUGCGAAAGCGUGGGGAUCAAACAGGAUUAGAUACCCUGGUAGUCCACGCCGUAAACGAUGAGUGCUAAGUGUUAGGGGGUUUCCGCCCCUUAGUGCUGCAGCUAACGCAUUAAGCACUCCGCCUGGGGAGUACGACCGCAAGGUUGAAACUCAAAGGAAUUGACGGGGACCCGCACAAGCGGUGGAGCAUGUGGUUUAAUUCGAAGCAACGCGAAGAACCUUACCAAAUCUUGACAUCCUUUGACAACUCUAGAGAUAGAGCCUUCCCCUUCGGGGGACAAAGUGACAGGUGGUGCAUGGUUGUCGUCAGCUCGUGUCGUGAGAUGUUGGGUUAAGUCCCGCAACGAGCGCAACCCUUAAGCUUAGUUGCCAUCAUUAAGUUGGGCACUCUAAGUUGACUGCCGGUGACAAACCGGAGGAAGGUGGGGAUGACGUCAAAUCAUCAUGCCCCUUAUGAUUUGGGCUACACACGUGCUACAAUGGACAAUACAAAGGGCAGCGAAACCGCGAGGUCAAGCAAAUCCCAUAAAGUUGUUCUCAGUUCGGAUUGUAGUCUGCAACUCGACUACAUGAAGCUGGAAUCGCUAGUAAUCGUAGAUCAGCAUGCUACGGUGAAUACGUUCCCGGGUCUUGUACACACCGCCCGUCACACCACGAGAGUUUGUAACACCCGAAGCCGGUGGAGUAACCAUUUGGAGCUAGCCGUCGAAGGUGGGACAAAUGAUUGGGGUGAAGUCGUAACAAGGUAGCCGUAUCGGAAGGUGCGGCUG
rnacentral:rRNA from 1 species